rnacentral:piRNA from 1 species
UAGAAAACGUCAGUGUUUUUU